UGCUCUUAGACCAGUACCUGGUCUGGGCAGGGCCUAGAGGCCCUCACUAUCUUGUGAGAGGUGUAUGUACUUCAUCCCCACAGGUGGGGAUAUACUCAGAUUUGGGGAGGUCUUCUGCUGCACUUGGAGCCCCACAUGACUCCCCAGACAUAGGAUGAGGAGUUUAAUUUUAGUUGGGCGUGUUAAUUAGGUGAGCCCAAAGGGGUUUUUGAUUGCUGGGCCUCAACACUUUGGGCCUUGGGGAGGGAAGAGACCUUGGCUAGCUUUAGGAGUGUAAGCCAAUGGUUUUUAGAAAGGCGGAGGGAAUGGGGGAUAGGCAAGGCCCACCAGAGCCUCUUCCUGGCAUCCCCUCUCCCAGCUGGCCUCUGCAGGGCUGUUGUCCUCCCUUGGCUUGCUGAGCCCACAGACGCCCCUGUCCUUGGCCUCCACAGAUGGGUUGGUAAAGCGGCUGGAGGAGCUGGAGCGCACUGCCGAGCUGUACAAAGGAAUGACGGAGCACACCAAGAAUCUCCUACGGGCCUUUUAUGAGCUGUCACAGACUCACCGGGGUAAUGGCAUCCCCAGACAUGCCACGUGGUCCUGCAAACCCCUGUCCCUCAAGACUCAGUAGCACCUAACAGUGAGGUGUGGCCAGCUUCUUCUCUGAGCCCUUCUCAUCCCCACACCAAGGCCAGCACUCAGACCUAGUCUGAUGCUGGGUGUGGCGGUGACCAUGAAGCACCUGGUCCGGGUGGCCUUAGGAUGCCCCAUC
rnacentral:lncRNA from 1 species